GAUGAAGAACGCAGCGAAAUGUGAUACGUAAUGUGAAUUGCAAAUUCAGUGAAUCAUCGAAUCUUUGAACGCACAUUGCACCUCUCGGUAUUCCGGGAGGUAUGCCUGUUCGAGCGUCAUUUGUACCCUCAAGCUCUGCUUGGUGUUGGGUGUUUGUUCCGCCUCUGUGUGUGAACUCGCCUCAAAACAAUUGGCAGCCGGCGUACUUGUUUCGGAGCGCAGCACAUUUUGCGAUCCAGAUCAACGUACAGCGGCAUCCAAGAAGCCUUAUUUAACGCUCUUGACCUCGGAUCAGGUAGGGAUACCCGCUGAACUUAAGCAUAUCAAUAAGCGGAGGA
rnacentral:misc_RNA from 1 species